rnacentral:rRNA from 1 species
GGCGCGCGAUACAGGGUGACAGCCCCGUACACAAAAAUGCACAUGCUGUGAGCUCGAUGAGUAGGGCGGGACACGUGGUAUCCUGUCUGAAUAUGGGGGGACCAUCCUCCAAGGCUAAAUACUCCUGACUGACCGAUAGUGAACCAGUACCGUGAGGGAAAGGCGAAAAGAACCCCGGCGAGGGGAGUGAAAAAGAACCUGAAACCGUGUACGUACAAGCAGUGGGAGCACGCUUAGGCGUGUGACUGCGUACCUUUUGUAUAAUGGGUCAGCGACUUAUAUUCUGUAGCAAGGUUAACCGAAUAGGGGAGCCGAAGGGAAACCGAGUCUUAACUGGGCGUUAAGUUGCAGGGUAUAGACCCGAAACCCGGUGAUCUAGCCAUGGGCAGGUUGAAGGUUGGGUAACACUAACUGGAGGACCGAACCGACUAAUGUUGAAAAAUUAGCGGAUGACUUGUGGCUGGGGGUGAAAGGCCAAUCAAACCGGGAGAUAGCUGGUUCUCCCCGAAAGCUAUUUAGGUAGCGCCUCGUGAAUUCAUCUCCGGGGGUAGAGCACUGUUUCGGCAAGGGGGUCAUCCCGACUUACCAACCCGAUGCAAACUGCGAAUACCGGAGAAUGUUAUCACGGGAGACACACGGCGGGUGCUAACGUCCGUCGUGAAGAGGGAAACAACCCAGACCGCCAGCUAAGGUCCCAAAGUCAUGGUUAAGUGGGAAACGAUGUGGGAAGGCCCAGACAGCCAGGAUGUUGGCUUAGAAGCAGCCAUCAUUUAAAGAAAGCGUAAUAGCUCACUGGUCGAGUCGGCCUGCGCGGAAGAUGUAACGGGGCUAAACCAUGCACCGAAGCUGCGGCAGCGACGCUUAUGCGUUGUUGGGUAGGGGAGCGUUCUGUAAGCCUGUGAAGGUGUGCUGUGAGGCAUGCUGGAGGUAUCAGAAGUGCGAAUGCUGACAUAAGUAACGAUAAAGCGGGUGAAAAGCCCGCUCGCCGGAAGACCAAGGGUUCCUGUCCAACGUUAAUCGGGGCAGGGUGAGUCGACCCCUAAGGCGAGGCCGAAAGGCGUAGUCGAUGGGAAACAGGUUAAUAUUCCUGUACUUGGUGUUACUGCGAAGGGGGGACGGAGAAGGCUAUGUUGGCCGGGCGACGGUUGUCCCGGUUUAAGCGUGUAGGCUGGUUUUCCAGGCAAAUCCGGAAAAUCAAGGCUGAGGCGUGAUGACGAGGCACUACGGUGCUGAAGCAACAAAUGCCCUGCUUCCAGGAAAAGCCUCUAAGCAUCAGGUAACAUCAAAUCGUACCCCAAACCGACACAGGUGGUCAGGUAGAGAAUACCAAGGCGCUUGAGAGAACUCGGGUGAAGGAACUAGGCAAAAUGGUGCCGUAACU